rnacentral:rRNA from 1 species
UACGGAGGGGGCUAGCGUUGUUCGGAAUUACUGGGCGUAAAGCGCACGUAGGCGGCUUUGUAAGUUAGAGGUGAAAGCCCAGGGCUUAACCCUGGAAUUGCCUUUAAGACUGCAUCGCUAGAAUCGUGGAGAGGUGAGUGGAAUUCCGAGUGUAGAGGUGAAAUUCGUAGAUAUCGGGAAGAACACCAGUGGCGAAGGCGACUCACUGGACACGUAUUGACGCUGAGGUGCGAAAAGCGUGGGG